GGGAUACUUUGCAGGAACACCCCUGCAAGAAACUGUUUUUUUACUGUGGUCUCUCUGCAGAUGGGGAAAGGGAUCCUGGAGCCGGAGCGCGAUGCGGGAGGAAGGAAUCCACGCUCGCCGUCGCCGUCCCUGAGGUACAUUGCUUCUGAAAACAUUUGUACGGAAUUGAAGUUAAAGUCUUAUAUCGAGAUUACUUUCUAAGAACCUCAAGAAAACCUAUUCAUAGAGAAAUUCCCCAGUCAAGAGAUCUGCACUGUUAAUACUGUAGUUUGGAGGAUAAUAAUGAUUACAGAAUUUGACUUCUAUCGAAACAAGCAAAUACAUGAAUAGAACUUCAGAGUUACCACAAUAUAAUUUGUUGAAUCUAGGUUAAGUGAGGACAUCUUUUGAGGUUAGUAUAUUAGCCUUGUGCUAAUUGGGGGAAAAA